UACGGAGGGCGCAAGCGUUGUUCGGAAUUACUGGGCGUAAAGCGCGUGUAGGCGGCCUGACAAGUCGGGUGUGAAAUCCCGGAGCUCAACUCCGGAACUGCAUCCGAUACUGUCAGGCUCGAGUCUCGGAGAGGACGGCGGAAUUUCCGGUGUAGAGGUGAAAUUCGUAGAUAUCGGAAGGAACACCAGUGGCGAAGGCGGCCGUCUGGACGAUGACUGACGCUGAGACGCGAAAGCGUGGGGAGCAAACAGG
rnacentral:rRNA from 1 species